GUGGGGAAUAUUGGGCAAUGGGCGAAAGCCUGACCCAGCAACGCCGCGUGAAGGAAGAAGGCCUUCGGGUUGUAAACUUCUUUUAUGAGGGACGAAGGAAGUGACUGUACCUCAUGAAUAAGCCACGGCUAACUACGUGCCAGCAGCCGCGGUAAUACGUAGGUGGCAAGCGUUGUCCGGAUUUACUGGGUGUAAAGGGCGCGUAGGCGGACUGGCAAGUCAGAUGUGAAAUCCAUGAGCUCAACUCAUGAACUGCAUUUGAAACUGUUGGUCUUGAGUAUCGGAGAGGCAAGCGGAAUUCCUAGUGUAGCGGUGAAAUGCGUAGAUAUUAGGAGGAACACCAGUGGCGAAGGCGGCUUGCUGGACGACAACUGACGCUGAGGCGCGAAAGCGUGGGGAGCAAACAGGAUUAGAAACCCCAGUAGUCC
rnacentral:rRNA from 1 species